rnacentral:rRNA from 1 species
AUUGAACGCUGGCGGCAGGCCUAACACAUGCAAGUUGAGCGGAGCGGCGGACGGGUGCGUAAUGCCUAGGAAUCGGCCUGGUAGUGGGGGAUAACGACCGGAAACGGGUGCUAAUAAGGCACCCUACCAGAUGAGUCUAGGUCGGAGCAGCUAGUUGGUGGGGUAAAGGCCUACUAAGGCGACGAUCCGUAACUGGUCUGAGAGGAUGAUCAGUCGCACUCGUAAUGAGACAGGGUCCAGACUCCGACGGGAGGCAGAAGGGGGGCAUAUUGGACAAUGGGGGCAAGCCUGAUCCAGCCAUGCCGCGUGUGUGAAGAAGGUCUUCGGAUUGUAAAGCACUUUAAGUUGGGAGGCGUUACCAGCAGAAUAAGCACCGGCUAACUGCGUGCCAGCAGCCGCGGUAAUUC